UAAAUAUUUACAUUGAAAUCA
rnacentral:piRNA from 1 species